rnacentral:rRNA from 1 species
UAGACAAUAGUACGAAAGUAGGGUGGCGCACGGGUGCGUAACGCGUAGGUAAUCUGCCCUGAGGUCUGACAUAACCCGUCGAAGGCGGGCUAACAUCAGAUGAUAUAUAAUCACGACAUCGUGGAAAUAUCAAAUCUUCGGAGCCUUGGGAUGAGCCUGCGUCUGAUUAGGUAGUUGGCGGAGUAAUAGCCCACCAAGCCUACGAUCAGUAGCUGGUCUGAGAGGAUGAUCAGCCACACUGGAACUGAGACACGGUCCAGACUCCUACGGGAGGCAGCAGUAAGGAAUAUUGCUCAAUGGGGGGAAACCCUGAAGCAGCAACGCCGCGUGAAGGAUGAAAUACUUUUGUAUGUAAACUUCUGUAAGAUGGGAAAAAUAUUCUCCUCGGGAGAAUUGAUUGUACCAUCAGAGUAAGCCCCGGCUAACUACGUG